CCUACGGGUGGCAGCAGUGAGGAAUAUUGGUCAAUGGGCGCGAGCCUGAACCAGCCAAGUAGCGUGAAGGAUGACUGCCCUACGGGUUGUAAACUUCUUUUAUAAAGGAAUAAAGUGAGGCACGUGUGCCUUUUUGUAUGUACUUUAUGAAUAAGGAUCGGCUAACUCCGUGCCAGCAGCCGCGGUAAUACGGAGGAUCCGAGCGUUAUCCGGAUUUAUUGGGUUUAAAGGGAGCGUAGAUGGGUUGUUAAGUCAGUUGUGAAAGUUUGCGGCUCAACCGUAAAAUUGCAAUUGAUACUGGCAGUCUUGAGUGAGCGAGAAGUAUGCGGAAUGCGUGGUGUAGCGGUGAAAUGCAUAGAUAUCACGCAGAACUCCGAUUGCGAAGGCAGCAUACCGGCGCUCAACUGACGCUGAGGCACGAAAGCGUGGGGAUCGAACAGGAUUAGAUACCCCAGUAGUC
rnacentral:rRNA from 1 species